GCAGACCCCCCACCGCCGAAGUGCCGCCAAAGACCCGGAGCGGACCGUGGCCGGGUGAGUAAAAAAAAUUAAAAAGGCGCCUAAGGCAUGGAGCCCUCUUAGGUGCGGGGCCCGAUUCCUAAAACCGUCCCUGGUGGCGGUGAUUUUAACUGAUAUCUCACUCCGGAGGGUAACAAAGGCAGAGAGAGGACAGCUGCUGGCGUCCCAAGGCUGCUCUCACCCAUAUGCUGCUCAACUGUGUACUGCAAUGAUGCCUGCUGAAAUUAUUGCUGACUGGCUGGGGCGGUGUCUUACCACAGAGGAAGAAAUAAUCCCUACAAACUUUUGGGAGAGGACUGCAGCAUAUCUCCAUGAAAGUUUUACUGCUAUCUCUCAGGAGGAUUCAGUAACUACAGCCAACAUCUAAGUUGCUGAAACAUGAAAUUUCUUCCCUCGAAUAGACAACCUUGGAAGUCUAACCCAAAAGAAAUCCCAUUAGUCAUACACUGAGUCUGUCUCUGGGAAAAUUGCUAGUGGAAGUGGGACAAAUAGGCCAGGCUCCCGCUACUGACUUCCAAGCAGUGGAGGAACAGGAGGAAGCUGCGUUACUGGAAACAAAGAGCCUGGUGGGGAAGGCCUGAGUCAUGGAGAGAUCAAAUGAGAGGCCCCAGGUGGGAAUGGGAGUCUGAAGGGCCGGGGGAGGCUGGACUGGCUGGGCAAGGAUAUGAGGACUGAAAGCCAGGGAUUGGCAGGGUGUAUGUGAAGUCAGUUGAAAGGGUUAGAUGGGACAAGCAGGUAGAGACAAGGCCAAAAGGGGUAGUGCUGGGGGGAAUAGGGGUAUAAAUGUCUGUGACCACUACAGCACGCUUACCUCUGGAGGUUGGAAAAUAACCCAAGAUUGCUGAGUCUCACCAUUCCUCUGCUGUUAGCAAAGAUCCAUGAAAGCCAGUGACAAAGCGUGUCUCAUCCCCCUUCAGUGGCUGGUUCACAUAGAGGUUAACAGACUACUGCCACUACCAGUUAUUAUAUUAGCUCAAGUGGCAGAAGUCUACACUGUGAAUCUAAAAGUUCCAACCCUACUGAUGAGCCAUAUGGGCAUAGUAUCAUCCCACAUAAUGAAAUUUCCAUUUUUUUCAGGAAAGCUUAGGAAAGAUACCAAAACUAAACAUGUGAGGUUGCAAAGUCAAGCACUCGAAUGAUAGGAAAUGCCAGAAUUAAGGUUGCCUGUGCACCCUAGGUUCUUCUUCAAGUGCUUGCUUAUGUCGUUGGAGAUUUUUGUCUUAGCAGUAUCUGUAGGGUCGGCAGUGGCGCCUCCUUGAGUGCCACGCUCAUGCGUCGAUAUAUCAGGCGCUAUCAACCCUAUGCCCUCUCAGUUCCUUCUUACAGCCCGUGGUGGUUAGUCGGAGUGCUUUCCCUUGCAUUGCUGAUCCCCCGAGACGAAGCAGCGCUCUCCACCUCUGCGCCACAAGUCACCAGAGCCACAGCCCGGAUGCUGUGGGGCUUGUCCUCUGUCACCAGCACCACGUUCCCGGUCGCUGCCAUCUCAACGCGGAUCACCUAGAGCAAGAUGCUGGUCGCCGUACUACCGACGCCACUCACCAUCCUGCAGAUAAUCAUCUGGGCACAGGUCCCAGUCACCUACAUAGUGGGAGUGCUCCCCAUCACGUCUUCAGUCCCCCCCAGCACCGGUUCCCAACAGCAACAGCCAGAAAGCAGACCCAGGCAUUAACCGCCCCACCGUGGUCACUGGAAGGGGAUUCCUCCAGCAAGGAAGCCCAGGUCAGCCCCUCGCCUGGUCUGCACCAGCACGAAUGGGCACCCAAGGCUGCGUCAAUGUCGAUGUCGCUGACUUGGCAGCAUGACUAGUGACCUUAUUGGGGCGCAUGGGGAAUGCUGGUUGUGGCGAUGCCCCCUUCUCACCACUCAUCGGCCGCCACCUCGGAGCAGCAGCUGGUGGCACCGAUGGCACUGGGCUCGGUGCACAAGGCACGCCCGGUGGUCGGAGCAGAGGGAACAGCGCCCACCGCUAAGCAUGAAGAUGCCCUGGAACCUCCCCCAGCGCUGCAGUCAUCAUCCUCGUCCCCGGAUGAGACGGUUGCAGGACCCUCGAGGGCAAGCCCGCCAGACGAUUUCAAAGAACAUCAGGCCCUGCUGCGUCAGGUGGCCGAGAACUUGAGCCUGGAGGUAGAGGAAAUGGCUGAGCAGACGGACACCUUGUUUAAUGUCCUGUCAGCUUCCACCCCAAAACAUGUUGCACUACUGGUGCACAAUGGUGUUCUUAAGAUUGCCAAGGAUCUUUGGCAAACUCCGUCCUCCAUUCCUCCCCCCUCACAGGGCUGAACAGAAGCACUUUGUCCCGGCUGAGGGGUUCGAGAACCUCUAUACCCACUCUCCCUCCCCCAGUCUUGCUGGUGGUCUCUGCGGCCAAUGAAAGAGACAAACGGGGGCAUACCAGUUUGACUCCUAAAUAUAAAGAGGCCAAACAGUUGGAUCUGUUCGGGAGAAAGAUUUUAUUAGAUGGACGGUUUGCCAACCAGAUCUGCAAACUAUCAGUCCCUCUUGGGCCGUUACAACUUUAGCUUAUGGUACUCUCCAUAAGUUCUAGGAGUCCCUUCCAUAUGGGUUGGCUCAAGAAUUUGGCACCCUGAUGGAGGAGGGCACUGUGGCUGUCAGGUGCUCCCUUCAGAUGACAUGGGACGUGGCAGACUCGGCAGCCAGGGUGGUCGCGUUGGCGGUGGUGAUGAGGCAUGGCUUCUGACUGCAGGUCUCUCCCUGGAAAUGCUGACCUCCAUCCAAGAUCUCCUGUUGGAUGGGAAUGGUCUCUUUUCAGACCAGACUGAUGCAAGGCUGCAUGGACUGGAGGACACCAGGGCCACUCUUCUCUCACUGGGAAUGCAUACAUCGCAGCCUGCGAGGAAGCAGUUCCAGCUGCCCCUGCCACCUAAGCCUUGGCAGUCUUGCCAGGGACCUGCAAGAAGAAGGGACAGAAAUACUAGUUCAGCCACCGUUGCCCUUCUUCCUCCCACUCACCUGCGCAACCCAGUCCAGCAAAGCACUCCGGGGACCAGAAGCGCUCGAUUUGAGGGCAGUCACUGUCCAGGAUCCAACCCGCUCUUUCCUCCACAGUCUAUGUCCCCUCCGUUUGGCCUGGUCCCAAGUCACCUCGGACCGUUGGGUGCUGGACAUAGCAUCUCAUGGUUACAGCCUGCAAUUUUUGGCUGCCCUUCCCUCCCAUCCCCCCUCCUUCUCAUCCCUCUUCAGGGACCCUUCUCAUGAGCAACUCCUCAUUCAGAAGGUCGAGAACCUCCUGUGCCUGGAGGCGGUGGAGGAGGUCCCUCGGGACAUGAGGGGAAAGGGCUUCUACUCCCGCUACUUCCUAAUCCCAAAGGCAAAAGGGUGCCUCAGGCCAUUCUGGACCCGCGAUGCCUCAACAAGUCUCCCUGGCGUCCAUUAUCCCCUCCCUGAAUCCAGGAGACUGGUACGCCACCCUUGACUUGAACGAUGCCUUUUUUCCACAUCUCUAUAGUCCAAAGUCACAGGCGUUUCCUCUGGUUUAUAGUGGGCAAACGCCAUUUCCAAUUCAUGGCGCUCCCCUUUGGCCUCUCAUCAGCCCCAAGGGUUUUUACCAAAUAUGUGGUCCGGUGGCCGGUUAUCUCAGACAUCCAGGAGUCCAGGUCUUCCCAUACCUCGACGACUGGCUCAUCAAGGGCAAGUCCCAGAACCAAGGACAGAGAAGCCUCGAUCUGGUGCGUUUCACCUGCCACAAGCUAGGCAUGUUGAUAAAUGAGAAAAUAUCCACCUUAAAGGCCAGUCCAACGCGGAGUUCAUCGGAGCGGUUCUCGACUCCACACGAGCCAGAGCCUUCCUCCCAGAGGCGCGUUUUCAGGCCAUGUCGGAUCUGAUCUCCCACGUGAGGAGCUACCUGCUCACCAUGGCUCACACCUGCCUGCGGUUGUUGGGCCACAUGGCUGCCUGUACCUAUGUGAUCAGUCAUGCUUGACUCCACGUCUGGCCUCUGCAAGCGUGGCUGGCGUCGCUUUACACCACUAACAGACAUGAUCUAGACUGAAUGGUCAGGGUGCCGGAUCACAUCCUGUCGUCCCUGGAUUGGUGGUUGGAUGCUGGGUCGUGAUCCCGUCCCCAUCAUUGACCCUUGUCUCCGAUGCUUCAGACCUGGGCUGGGGAGCCCACUUGGGCAAGCUGAGCACCCAGGGCUGAUGGGUGUGGGACGAUCUGGCCCUCCACAUCAACGUCAGGGAGCUCAGAGCGGUUCGCCUGGCCUGCCAGGCCUUCUUGCCACCUGAGGGGCAAGGUAGUGCAGGUCCUGAUGGACAAUACCGCCACAAUGUAUUACAUCAACAGACAGGGCAGAGCCAGGUCGUCAGCCCUCUGUCAAGAAGCUCUCAACCUUUGGCACUUCUGCAGCAUGCCAUUUAUCUGGUAGCUGCAGACCUGCCUGGUACCAAGAAUGUGCUAGUGGAUUGCCUCAGCAGAACCUUCUCGUCUUGCCACGAGCGGUCCCUCCAUCUGGAGGCAGCCAGUAUGAUCUUACGGAAGUGGAGGACUCCCCAGGUGGAUUUGUUCGUGUCCUGCCAAAACAGGAAAUGCCAUGUGUUCUGUUCGCUCCGGGGGAUGGACGGGAGUUCCCUGUCGGAUGCUUUCCUACAUCCAUGGUCAGGGGCCCUGAUAUUCGCCUUCCCACCAGUGCCAUUGAUCCACAGAGUCCUAGUGAAAAUAAAGCGGGACAUGGCGAAGGUUAUUCUGAUAGCUCCCGAGUGGCUUCGCCACCACUGGUUAGGCACGCAGCUGGACCUUUCGGUAGCCAAGCCACUGCAACUCCCUCUCUGGCCGUACCGGUCUCAGAAUCACAGCAGUCUCCUGCACCUGAACCUGGAGGCACUGCACUUCAUACCAUGGCUGCUGCGUGGCUAAAUGCGGACGAGCGGGAUGCUUGACCCAAGUGCAACAGGCCUUGCUGGGUAGCAGAAAGCCCUCCACCAGAGCGACCUAUUGGGCAAAGUGGAAAAGGUUUAUGUGCUGGGCCUUGGAUUGGUGUGUCCGGGCCAAGCAGGCCUCCCUGCAGGUGAUCCUGGACUAUCUCCUGCACCUCAAGCUCCAGGGCUUGUCACUGUUGUCAGUCAGGGUCCACCUGGCUGCUGUUUUGGCUUUCCACUCUCCGUUCCAAGGCAGGUCUAUCUUCACUUAUGAUAUGACGGCCCAAUUCCUGAAAGGUCUGGAGUGUCUUUACCCGCAUGUCUGGGAUCCGGUCCCUCCCUAGGAUUGGAACCUUGUGCUGUCAAGGCUCAUCGGACUUCCAUUUCAGCGUCUGGCUUCCAACUCUCUUCUCCUUCUCUCCUGGAAGGUGGUGUUCCUGGUGGCAAUUACGUCCACCUGCAGAGUAUCUGAACUCAGAGUGCUUAUGUAGUAACCUCCCUAUACGGUGUUCUACAAGGACAAGGUCCAGUUGCGGCUGCACCCGGCGUUCCUACCAAAGGUAGUUUCCCAGUUUCGUACCUGCCAGGACAUUUUCUUACCAGUCUUCUUUCCGAAGCCCCAUAGUUCCAAAGAGGAGCGCAGGUUACACGCCCUGGAUGUUUAGAGGGCGCUGGCCUUUUAUAUUGACAGGACACAGCCUUUCCGUAAAUCUACGCAACUGUUUGUUGCUGUGGCAUACAGGAUAAAAGGUCACCCAGUGUCUGUUCAGAGGAUUUCAUCCUGGAUUACAGCCUGCAUCUGAUACUGCUACGAGCUCGCAAGUGUGCCUCCACUGACGAUAGUCAAAGUGUACUCAACUGGAGCACAAGCGUCAUCAGCGGCCUUCUUGGCUCAUGUGCCGAUCCAAGAGAUCUGUAGAGCUGCUAUGUGGUUGUCUGUCCACACAUUUACAUCCCAUUAUGCACUUACCCAGCAGGCCCGGGAGGAUGCUGGCUUCAGCCGUGCAGUGCUGCUAGCUACAAAACUGUGAACUCCAAGCCCACCUCCAUUGGCACUGCUUCUGAGUCACCUAGAAUGGAAUUGACAUGAGCAAGCACUCAAAGAAGAAAAAACAGUUACCUACCUUUUGUAACUCUUGUUCUUCGAGAUAUGUUGCUCAUGUCCAUUCUAUUACUCACCCUCCUGCCCCUCUGUAAGAGUCGCCGGCAAGAAGGAACUGAGAGGGUGUAGGGUCGGCGGUGCCUGAUAUACUGAUGCAUGAACGUGGUACUCAAGGGGGUGCCACAGUCGACCCUACGGCCACCACUAAGGCAAAAAUCUCCAGCGAUUGCACACUUGGGUGCCCACACACCUCUAAUGGAACGGACAUGAACAACACAUCUCGAAGAACAGUUACGAAAGGCUCAGUUACAUCUCUUAUUCUGCUCUGUAAUGGCCUCAUGGAUAGCCAGACUAUUUUUCUUAUGAGAGUCUGAGAAGAGGAGGGUCCAACAGUUUCUGCUUCAUGAUGGGAGAAGAGCAAAAUCAGAGACAGCCCAGCAUGCAUCUCUUCCCCUCAGUGGCCAGACCAACAUCCAAACUAAUUACAUUUUUAAAGAAAAAUCAAGAAAGAAGGGAGUGUAUCAGUGAAAAGAGACGAAAGGAAGAUCGGGGCGAGAGAAAGUUGAUAGAAACAGGCCAGAGAUCUUGAAUGGAUGUGCCAGUCAAUCUGAAAGUAACUCAGGCACCCAUGAAUCUGAUCAACACACAGGAAGGGCUUGGAGCUUGAUAACAUGCUAACCUUUGAAGGGCAGAAAAAUUUUUGAACUUCUUGCUGCUGGUUGAAAAGGUUUUAUCAGCAAUACCUUGAAAUUUGACACAGGGUACAAAUCUGCAAUAAACCAACAAUGGAAACUGGAGAACAAGAUGAGAAGCAAUUCAUCUCGGACAAUUAGCUCUUACAAUACUCCAUAGGUACUACACGGUAUGCUAGAACCCUACUAUGGUCUUACAAUGCUAUUGUAAAUUUCUGAUAUUAAUGAACAUGUUAUGGUAAAUAACCCUACAUUUUUACUACCUAAUAUAGUAAAAUAAAGUAAGAAACUUUUUACUGAAAACUUUUUCGAUUUCAAAAAUCUAGAAAGAGUAAUAUUUAGAAUUCAAGAAAUUUUCUUACAAGAUUAUUGUAUAAAAGACUAGCUACAGUGAAAAAUAAGCCAAAUGUAUUUUUCUUUCUAUUUUAUGAAGGAAAGCUUCUGGGCAUACUGCAAAGUCUAAUAUAGCCAAAAAGACGACAAGCUUAGAAGGAAAAAGGCCUGGCAGUGGCACGUGAUCACUUUCACACGUCAUAAGCAACAAAUUUGUUUAGCUGAUAAACACUGAAAUGAAGAACAAGGCCACAGAUAUAGUCAGAUAUUAUCUGAUGAUAUAUUCAAAUUAAUUAAAGUAAUAGAAUGAAAUCACUAAUUUCACAAACAACUGGUUUGUUAGGAAUCAUCCAAAACGUGAUUUUAAAUUCAUUAGUCUGUUUUAAGUCUUUUUUUUUGUUCUUUUAAAUUAAUUGAAAUUAUUUAAAAUGAUUAACUGUUUUGUUCCUUUUUUGUGUGUGAGCUGAUUGCGUAUUGCCCAUUUUACUGGUGGCAAACAAUAGCUAAGACAACCUUGGCUUGAUAGUUUUCCCCCAUGGUCAUUGCAGUGGAAGACAGUUUCCAUGGAAGUUCAGAGGGAUUUUAACAAUCAACACAUUAGUGACAAAGGAAUACUUAUGGACACUGUUCUGGUGGAGCAACAUUUAAUGAUUUAAUGCUAAUAUGGCUUGGGAGGGGGCAGUUUGUUUGCAACUGAUUGAAUCACACUGAAUUCUUCUCCACUGACAAGCCAUACAAAAAUGACAAGAUAAUUAAUGUAUACAAUAAGGAAAAAGAUUGGUGACCAUUGCUCUUAUCUCCCAUUAUGUAAUUAGCCCACCACAGCUGUGUUUAGUUCAUCACACUAUCUGCCAUGGUGAAUUUAGGAUUUUACUGUUCACCAUAAUUACAGCCCGAAAAGUCUCCUUUGUAUUUUAAUGCAUUUUGUGCUUACGUACAGCUAACACUUUACAUGUACUAUAUGUAGUACUUACUGCUUGGAAAACAAAGCAAUUCUAACAAAGUAGAUUCUCCCCACCCAAUUUACACUUCACGUUACAAGCUUUACUAUGAAGCCUAGAAGCCUAAAAAGGUUUGGUUUAUAAUUAGAAAUAAAAAUAUUUAUUUGAGGAAAGUCUGAGGGGAAAAAAUACCACUUUUUAAAUCCAAGAAAUGGCAUGGUCACAGUAGUGCUCCUGUCUGCGGUCUUCACUGUACCUUCGAAUGGGUUGAAGUAUGGAGCUCAGUAUGGAAGCGGACGAUGACCAUAACUGUUCAGAUUACCAGAGAACCAAAAAAAAAAAAAAAGCUAUGCCAAGGAAUAUUUUCCUAUUGCAUGGAAAACACUAGUCAUAUGGCAAAAGGAGUAGAAAGGACAA